rnacentral:rRNA from 1 species
CCUACGGGGCGCAGCAGGCGCGAAACCUCCGCAAUGCGGGCAACCGCGACGGGGUUAGCCGGAGUGCCCGUGCAUCGCACGGGCUGUCGGGGUGCCUAAACAGCACCCCAUAGCAAGGGCCGGGCAAGGCCGGUGGCAGCCGCCGCGGUAAGACCGGCGGCCCGAGUGGCGGCCACUCUUAUUGGGCCUAAAGCGUCCGUAGCCGGCCCAGUAAGUCCCCCGGGAAAUCUGGUCGCUUAACGAUCAGACUUCCGGGGGAUACUGCUGGGCUAGGGACCGGGAGAGGCCGAGGGUAUUCCCGGGGUAGGGGUGAAAUCCUGUAAUCCCGGGAGGACCACCUGUGGCGAAGGCGCUCGGCUGGAACGGGUCCGACGGUGAGGGACGAAGGCCUGGGGAGCGAACCGGAUUAGAUACCCGGGUAGUCCAGGCUGUAAACGAUGCGGGCUAGGUGUCACCGGAGCUACGAGCUCCGGUGGUGCCGGAGGGAAGCCGUUAAGCCCGCCGCCUGGGAAGUACGGCCGCAAGGCUGAAACUUAAAGGAAUUGGCGGGGGAGCACUACAACGGGUGGAGCCUGCGGUUUAAUCGGAUUCAACGCCGGGAAGCUUACCGGGGGAGACAGCGGGAUGAAGGUCGGGGUGAAGACCUUACCAGACUAGCUGAGAGGUGGUGCAUGGCCGCCGUCAGUUCGUACUGUGAAGCAUCCUGUUAAGUCAGGCAACGAGCGAGACCCGCGCCCUCAGUUGCCAGCGGGUCCCUUCGGGGACGCCGGGCACACUGAGGGGACUGCCGGCGCUAAGCCGGAGGAAGGUGCGGGCAACGGCAGGUCCGUAUGCCCCGAAUCCCCCGGGCUACACGCGGGCUACAAUGGCCGGGACAAUGGGUACCGACCCCGAAAGGGGUGGGUAAUCUCCUAAACCCGGUCUAACCUGGGAUCGAGGGCUGCAACUCGCCCUCGUGAACCUGGAAUCCGUAGUAAUCGCGCCUCAAAAUGGCGCGGUGAAUACGUCCCUGCUCCUUGUACUCACCGCCCGUC